CCGAGUUAGGGUCUCUCAGGCCCGACCUCCAACCCUUUGUUUACCAAACCACGUUGCUUCGGCGAGCCCGCUCCUCCGGGGGCCGCCGGGGGGUGUCGAAACCCUCUGGCCCGUGUUCGUCGAUAGCCCAACUUAAACUCUUGUGAAAAUCAUGUCGUCUGAAGUAUAAACAAAAUUAAAGCA
rnacentral:misc_RNA from 1 species